UGCCAGACUCCUACGGGAGGCAGCAGUGGGGAAUAUUGCGCAAUGGGGGAAACCCUGAUGCAGCGACGCCGCGUGAGCGAUGAAGUAUUUCGGUAUGUAAAGCUCUAUCAGCAGGGAAGAAGAUGACGGUACCUGACUAAGAAGCCCCGGCUAACUACGUGCCAGCAGCCGCGGUAAUACGUAGGGGGCAAGCGUUAUCCGGAUUUACUGGGUGUAAAGGGAGCGUAGACGGCGAUGCAAGCCAGAUGUGAAAGCCCGGGGCUCAACCCCGGGACUGCAUUUGGAACUGUGUGGCUGGAGUGUCGGAGAGGCAGGCGGAAUUCCUAGUGUAGCGGUGAAAUGCGUAGAUAUUAGGAGGAACACCAGUGGCGAAGGCGGCCUGCUGGACGAUGACUGACGUUGAGGCCCGAAAGCGUGGGGAGCAAACAGGAUUAGAUACCCGUGUAU
rnacentral:rRNA from 1 species